ensembl:lncRNA
GGGCUGAGAGAGACUGACCCCUCCAUCUUGGCUAAUUUGCUUUUUCCUUAAAUUCCCCAUUUGGGAAAUUUAUUUGGGGAGUUCCAAAGUAUAUUUUGACAUGACUAGUUCUGUGAGAUGUUAUUAGAUAUUCCUUGAAAAAAAAAAGUUCCAUUCUUACAGAAAUCAUGAAAUGCCUAUUUAAACUCUCAGCACUUUCUUGAGCGCUUAUAAAUGCCUGGGACAGCACAUCUACUUAGUCUUUUGAAGACUGGGCCUUCGUAAGCAAGAAAAUGGCUCUAGUUUUCACAGCGAAGAGGCCUGCCCAGGGGGACAGGAAUCGAUGUUGCCAUGGCAACAGCCAAUCUGUGCCACCUCCUGCUGCCUGCUGCCUGGGCAACAACUGACUUUUUGGGUCUCUUCCUUCUUUACGAGUCCAAGGAGCCACUGUGAACAGCAGUCUUUCAAUACUGUGGAAACUAUUCAGUUGAGCCACACAAAAGAAACUGACUCAUAACUGUAAGAUCUCGGAUUAUAAAUUAUGUCACCACAACUUCAGAGCUGCUGCUGCUAAGUCACUUCAGUCGUGUCCGACUCUGUGCAACCCCAGAGACGGCAGCCCACCAGGCUCCCCAGUCCCUGGGAUUCUCCAGGCAAGAACUCUGGAGUGGGUUGCCGUUUCCUUCUCCAAUGCAUGAAAGUGAAAACUGAAAGUGAAGGCGCUCAGUCCUGUCUGACCCUCAGCGACCCCAUGGACUGCAGCCUUCCAGGCUCCUCCAUCCAUGGGAUUUUCCAGGCAAGAGUACUGGAGUGGGGUGCCAUUGCUUUCUCCGACAACUUCAGAGCACCCGUCUUUUGAUCUGCUUUCUUGGCUUCUCUACAGAUGUCAGAUACUAUCCCUGGAUGCUUGCAUUUCACUGGAAGAGGGUGUAGUCCCUGAGACACACAUUGCUUUCCAAGCCUGCCACGAGCUGGGGUCCUCCCUUCUCAGUAUCUGUAGCACUGUUGUAACGAGGGUCCUAUUAGUUAAAAGUAAAUAAAUCUCUCAUUUGAGCAAUGCAGAGUUGAGUUCAUUGCUUCUUCCUUACAUCCAAACAAUUAUUUUGAACUAUUUUUGGGGUCCAAUGCUAACUGAAAGAAAAUCCAUGCUAAUUGAAAAGAGAAUAGGUUAAGUACUAGGCUUGUAUCUAAACCCUUAGAUAGAAGAGAAUAAUGGCCUAAACCCCAGAACCUGUGACACUGUUGCAAUUACAGAGCACAGGAGAAUUAAGGUAGCCGAUGAAAUUAAGUUUGCUAAUCAGCUGACCUUAAAAAGGGAGUGUAGUCUGAAUUUUCCAGGUGGAAUCAAUGGAAUCACAGGAUCUUUCAAUGUAAAAGAGGGAAAGACAAGAAUCAGUGUCAGUGAUGUGAUGUGAGAAAGAGUUGGCUGGCUGUUGCUGGCUAUGAAGAUGGAAGUGGGCCAUGAGCUGAGGAAUACCGCAGCUUCUAAAAGCUGAAAGCAAGGGGAUUGAUUGUUCCCUGAAGCCUCUGGAAGGAACAUAGGAACAUGGCCAAAUAAGACUUUGACUUUAGGCUUCCCUGGUGGUCCAGUGGUUAAGAAUCUGCCUUGCAAUGUGAGAAAUAUGGGUUCAAUCCCUGGUUCCAGAAGAUUCCAUAACCAUGGAGCAACUAAGCCCUGUGUGCCACAGCUACUGAGCCUGCACGCUGGAGCCCUCAAGCUGCAACUACUGAAGUCCAGGCAUCCUAAAGCCUGUGCUCCGCAACAAGAGAAACCACCUCAUAAGAAGCCCAUGCACCACAACUAGAGAAAGCCUGGGCACAGCAACCCAGACCCAGCACAGCCAAAGAAAAAAGACCCUGACUUUAAUCCACUGAAACCCACUUCGGACUUCUGGCCUCCAGAACUAAGAUAAUGCUUUGGUGUUGCGUUAAGCCAUGAAUUUGUGAUAACUAGUUACACCAGCAAUGGGAAACUAAUAUACAAGGAAUUAGGAAUGGAGAUCGGAGAAGGCAAUGGCACCCCAUUCCAGUACUCUUGCCUGGAAAAUCCCAUGGAUGGGGAAGCCUGGUAGGCUGCAGUCCAUGGGGUCUCGAAGAGUCCGACAGGACUGAGCGGCUUCACUUUCACUUUUCAUUUUCAUGCAUUGGAGAAGGAAAUGGCAACCCACUCCAGUGUUCUUGCAUGACAAUCAAAGGGACGGGGGAGCCUGGUGGGCUGCCGUCUAUGGGGUCGCACAGAGUCGGACACGACUGAAGUGACUUAGCAGCAGCAGGAAUGGAGAUCAGAAACAGAUACAGACUAGAGAAUUAAACAAAUGUGGGUCUCCUUGCUCAGAGCUUACUAUCUUAUCUCUAAUAGUGGUCCAGGGGAAACUCUUCAUUCUGAGUUUUCCAGGAGGAAAAUUCUGCAGUAUUAAAAAAAAGAGAGAGAGAGCAAUUAUAUUUUUUAUGAGUUAAAUUCAUGCACAUUUCUUUUUUGGUCCCUUCAGUGGUAUUUUGUUUGCUUCUCCCUUUUUAUUUUUCCUGUCAUAUAACACCAAUGUACAUGUAUACAGAGAAAUGCAUAAAAAUCCACAAAGUAAACACAU